GACGAACGCUGGCGGCGUGCUUAACACAUGCAAGUCGAACGGUAAGGCCCUUUCUGGGGUACACGAGUGGCGAACGGGUGGGUAACACGUGGGUGAUCUGCCCUGCACUUUGGGAUAAGCCUGGGAAACUGGGUCUAAUACCGGAUAGGACUACGCGAUGCAUGUCGUGUGGUGGAAAGCUUUUGCGGUGUGGGAUGGGCCCGCGGCCUAUCAGCUUGUUGGUGGGGUGAUGGCCUACCAAGGCGACGACGGGUAGCCGGCCUGAGAGGGUGUCCGGCCACACUGGGACUGAGAUACGGCCCAGACUCCUACGGGAGGCAGCAGUGGGGAAUAUUGCACAAUGGGCGCAAGCCUGAUGCAGCGACGCCGCGUGGGGGAUGACGGCCUUCGGGUUGUAAACCCAUUUCAGCACAGACGAAGCGUAAGUGACGGUAGGUGCAGAAGAAGCACCGGCCAACUACGUG
rnacentral:rRNA from 1 species